rnacentral:miRNA from 10 species
UUGGGUGGCGCAAAAGUAAUUGCAUUUUUUGCCAUUGAAAGUAAUGGCAAAAACCACAAUUACUUUUGCACCAACCUAAUAAAA